UGGAUCUGUUUGGAAAACGGAAGAGAAGAAACCUCGAUUAAACACAUCCUCAUUUCCUGUUCACUGAUUUACUAUAUCAUCCAUCAGAUUUUGUCAUCAAGCAUCUAAAACAACAUGCAAAAAAACCAAAGCAUACGCUUUUUAAGUUAAAAAAAUAGCAAUCUAUUACUAUUUUUUAAAAUCAGUAGCAGAAAGUUGAGUUAGGUAAGGACACAUUUGAUGAAGAAAGUUCUCUUAAAGCAAGCAGCACUGUUUCCAUUCCCCAUUACGAAGAUUUGAAAUGUAUGUCAGACCCACUCUUUUUUGCUCUGAUUUAUGUGACUUACUUGAUAGACAGCUCCCAGUCAAAUUGAGAUAUAUCAGUCAGAAUGAUUUUUGACAAAUUAGUACCAAUAUAAAAUUGAUUUCUUAUAUAUAACAUAGAAUUGUAUAAAAGAUGAAUUUUUAAAACAAUCAUAUAAUUUUUAUGAUAAUACAUCAAUGUUACUAGAAAUGACAACGUUCAUUUCACAUGGUCAGUUUUGUUAAAAGAAGAAAAUAGAGUAUAAAUUGAUUUUGUCUGUUUGCAAAAUCACAUUCUUUAAAAUGGUUAAAUCUAAAUUCUUUUGAGGUAAAGGACUGACAGUACUCUUAAUAUGGACUAUUGUCUUUAGAAAAUUACCCCUUACCUAUCCUACUCUGAAAAAUGUGGUGGAAUUUACAUUCAAAAAUGCAAAAUAAAAUUUAUAUGAUACUUUAUGCUAUAGAUUGAAUGUUUGUGACCCCCCAAAUUUAUAUGUUGAAAUUUAUCCCCAAUAUGAUAGUAUUUGGAGGUAGGGUCUUGGGAGAUUAUUUGGUUCUCAGAAUGAAGUGCU
rnacentral:lncRNA from 10 species